rnacentral:rRNA from 1 species
GACGAACGCUGGCGGCGUGCUUAACACAUGCAAGUCGAACGGAAAGGCCCUGCUUUUGUGGGGUGCUCGAGUGGCGAACGGGUGAGUAACACGUGAGUAACCUGCCCUUGACUUUGGGAUAACUUCAGGAAACUGGGUCUCAUACCGGAUAGGAUCUCCUGCUGCAUGGUGGGGGUUGGAUAGUUUCGGCGGUUGGGGAUGGACUCGCGGCUUAUCAGCUUGUUGGUGGGGUAGUGGCUUACCAAGGCUUUGACGGGUAGCCGGCCUGAGAGGGUGACCGGCCACAUUGGGACUGAGAUACGGCCCAGACUCCUACGGGAGGCAGCAGUGGGGAAUAUUGCACAAUGGGCGGAAGCAUGAUGCAGCAACGCCGCGUGCGGGAUGACGGCAUUCGGGUUGUAAACCUCUUUCGCCUGUGACGAAGCGUGAGUGACGGUAAUGGGUAAAGAAGCACCGGCUAACUACGU